CCUACGGGAGGCAGCAGUGAGGAAUAUUGGUCAAUGGGCGCGAGCCUGAACCAGCCAAGUAGCGUGAAGGAUGACUGCCCUACGGGUUGUAAACUUCUUUUAUAAAGGAAUAAAGUGAGGCGCGUGUGCCUUUUUCUAUGUACUUUAUGAAUAAGGAUCGGCUAACUCCGUGCCAGCAGCCGCGGUACUAUGGAGGAUGCGAGCGUUAUCCGGAUUUAUUGGGUUGAAAGGGAAAGUAGAUGGGUUGUUAAGUCAGUUGUGAAAGUUUGCGGCUCAACCGUAAAAUUGCAAUUGAGACUGGCAGCCUGGAGUAUAGUUGAGGUAGGCAGAAUUCGUGGUGUAGCGGUGAAAUGCUUAGAGAUCACGAAGAACUCCGAUUGCGAAGGCAGCCUACUAAACUGCCACUGACAUUGAUGCUCGAAAGUGUGGGUAUCAAACAGGAUUAGAUACCCCAGUAGUC
rnacentral:rRNA from 1 species